rnacentral:rRNA from 1 species
GAUGAACGCUGGCGGCGUGCCUAAUACAUGCAAGUCGAGCGGUAAGGCCCUUCGGGGUACGACGAGCGGCGGACGGCUGAGUAACACGUAGGAACGUACCCCAAACUGAGGGAUAAGCACCAGAAAUGGUGUCUAAUACCGCAUGUGAUCUUCGGAUUAAAGCUUCGGCGGUUUGGGAACGGCCUGCGCAUGAUUAGCUUGUUGGUGAGGUAAUUGCUCACCAAGGCGACGAUCAUUAGCUGGCCUGAGAGGAUGACCAGCCAGACUGGAACUGAGAACGGUCCAGACUCCUACGGGAGGCAGCAGUAGGGAAUUUUCCACAAUGGGCGAAAGCCUGAUGGAGCAACGCCGCGUGCAGGAUGAAUGUCUUCGGAUUGUAAACUGCUUUUAUAUGUGACGAUAAUGACGGUAGCAUAUGAAUAAGGAUCGGCUAACUCCGUG